rnacentral:lncRNA from 1 species
AAUUACGAACAAUUUUCUAUAAACAUAUUGAAUAACAAAUAUAUUUCUAUAAAUUUUAAUUUUUUAUUUUUUUUUAUAAAAGUCUUAUUUUUUUAAAUAUACUCCCGCUAUUACGAUUCAUUACAAAAAUAUAGUUAAUUACAAGUAAAAUACUUAACUCUUAUUAGUACGUAAAUAAGUAAAUUGAUUUUUUUAUUCAUUUUAUAUUAUUCAUGAUAGUAGAAAGUGAGAAGAUAAUCAUUAAAAAUUUUUGAGAGGGCAUUUCUAUAUAAUUCUAACACUUAGGAUUUUUGGAGAGACAUAUCUAUAAUAGCAAAAAUAACAAUUUAUUUAUCUUUUGUUAAACAGUAUUCUAACAAUAACAAAUCAGAGAGGCAGCUAUGAAUAUCAGUGGACUUUUAUAGCGAUGAAUAUGACAAGUUAAAUUUUGUAGGAAUUUAUUUGCUAUUCGAUAUAUUUACAGAAGCUGUAUAAAAUUAACUAUUUUUAAAUAAAAGUGUACAGAACUUAUAUCUUAAUUAUUAUUCAUUUUGAUUUGACUGUCUACUUUUAAAAAAAAUUUAUUUUAUUUUAUUUGAGCCAAUUUAUAAUCCUUUGACUUAAAUUUUGAAUACAUCCAUCAAAUAAAUUAAAUUAAACAAAUUACAAUUUUAGGCACUAAAAUUAAAUUUUUUUUAUUUUUAUAAAUUUAUUUUUGAGUAAACUUUAAAUACCCUCCCUGUGGUUUCAUACUUUCUCACUUUAGUAUCCCGUGAUUUAAAGUGUAUCAAGUUAGUCCCUGUGACUACGCUCUUUCUGACUUUAUUACCUUGUGAUUUAAAAUGUAUCAAAUUAGCACCCUGUGGUUUUAUUUUUCUAUUUUUAUUAUCCAUUUUACUAUUUUUUUUUUAUUAAAUCAGUAACAAAGUUAAAAUUAAAGGAUACUAAAGUGAAUAUUCGAUAAACCUAGGUAAGGGUAUCUGAAGAUUUUUGUAUAUAAUUUAACGAAAUAUUAACGGAGGAAAAAAAAAUCAAUGAUAAAAUUAAAACUAAAGAAUAUUAAAGUAAAUAUUCAAUAAAUCUAGAUAGGCUAUCUGAAGUAUUUUGUAUAUAAUUUAACGAAAUAUUAAUAGAGGAGCCGAUGAGAAGAAAAAAAUGAAAUCACAGGGUACUAAAUUGAUGCACUUUAAACCACAGAGUACUAAAGUGAAAAAGUGCGAAACUAUGGGAUAGUAAAUUGAUACACUUUUAAUCAUAAAAUAUUAAAAUAAAAAAAUAUAAAAUUAUAGGGGUGGUAUUUGAAAAUUUUCUUUUAUUUUUUGGAUCUUGCAAGUUCGAUUCCUCCGCACCAAGUAUUCCCUACAUUUGCCGCCCCUCGUGAACUGCGACGUCCCCCGCACAUGCUCCCGCUCAGUUUCUUUUACGGUUUGUCCAGAUCUCUCUCUCUCUCUUCUUUUUUUUCUUUUUAUUUUUUGGGGGGGGCCCUUUCACGAAAAUGCCCCCCACAUUUACCAAAAUGACAACUUUGUCCCCAACUCACUUCGAAAUUGGAAAUUAAAUUGGAAAUUAUGGUAGUGUUUCGUUCACGGUAUUUCUCAAAAGUUCCUCAGAACUUAAAUCUUAAAACUGAGAAUUUUUAUCAUGUCGUGGUUAGGGGUGGCAAUUCAGUUUGUCGUUCGCGUGCUAGCUCAUGUUCGUCUCGAAAUGAGUUCGAGAUCGAACCGCUCGUUUAGUAAACGAGCCGAACACGAGCUGAAUUUUUCAGCUCAUGUUCGGCUUGAAAUUAUGGUACGAAUCGUUCAUGGUAUUUCUCAAAAGUUUCUCAGAACUUAAAUCUUAAAAUUGAGAAUUUUUAUCAUGCCGUGGAUUCCAGCUCCAUGUCAAUUCGCCAAUAGAUUCGCUGUAUAGACAGAAAAUUCUAUGUACACAGAGCGAUAGAAUUAUUUGUAAACAGUAAAAAAAACAACUACUGCACCAAUGCUGAAAUUAAUUGGGUUUCGGAGUUAAUUAGUGGCGUCAAUUUCGCAUCCAAAUUAAAUCCGACUCGUCUUGACACUUUUCUGAAGUGACGAUCAAUUCAAGGUCUGUAACUUUUCCUGAAAAAUAAUAUUUUAUUUUUUUGGAACACUACAAUUUUCUUAUUUGGUUCGUCGCAAAAAUGAUAGUAAUCUAGAAUUUUUAUAUAUUUUAAUUCUACAAAGCGUAGGAAUUCAAAACUCAUUCACUUUCGUAGUAGUUUCCUUUCUCCACAUUAUGUGGUUUGAUUUUAAUAGAUUAAAGGGUUACUUUUAAAUUUAAUAAUAAUUACGAUGCUUUUUGGUGUAAAAUAAUAAACUUAUUAAUAUAAUCUACUUAUUUUUUAUGUCGAGUCAAACACAAACAUAAUAUAAUACUAAAUAUUCUAGAUACGAACCAAAUAAAUAUUCUUAUGAUAUUAGAAUUUAAUUCUAGAAUAAUAAUGCUUGAGAAAUUAACUUGGUUAUGAAAAUUUUAAAUCGUGCAAAAUUUAGUGGACUUAGCGAGAAAACAACAUUCGAGCAAAAUUUUUUGAUGGAUAAGAAAAAGUGCGAUGCUACGUCCACAUUCUGAGGCCAAUAUUUUUUCUUUACUUAACUUAAAAAUAUAUUUAGAUAUUUACAAACCUUAAAAUGAAGAAUUUUACAUUUACAUAUUCGUGUACAUAUUGCAUUUUCCUACAAAAAAAAAAGUAUAGUGCAAAUCCCCACAUUAAAAAUUUAAAACCCCUUCAAAUAUUUAUAGUUAUUUAUUUAUUUUUUUUUUGAGAGAUAUGUAGCAUGCUACCCGCUUCAUUUAUUUCAUUUAGAAAUAAAAUUUAUUUAUUUAUUUUUUGAGAAAUAGGUAGCAUGCUACCCGCUCCAUUUAUUUCAUUUAGAAAUAAACUUAGCUGGAAAUGUAAAUCGACUAGAAUUCGAACUUGUGUCUCGAGUACCAACCAUCAAGACUUUUGCCACUUACUCUAGGGACGGUCGGUAAUAUUUAUAGUGAUUUAUUAGUUAAGAAGUUGGCGGAUAGAACUCUAAAUUUAAAAUUUUCUCACAACAGGUCGAAUCCACAAUCUCUCAUACACUAAGAAGCUUUAAGUUAAUAUGAAUUUUAAGAAAGUAAUUUAGAAACUUUGGAGAAAUAUAUAUAUGCAUGCAAUUAAUGCCUCGUAAAAGUUGUUCCAUAGAAAGAUUUAAACGGACCCGCCUACGCAAACAAAUUAAGGGACAUUCAAUUUUUCAAUGAACGACCAUAAUGAUAGUGUGACACCUUUUACCUAUGAGCAAGAAGAAAAUAGAGCAAAUCCUUUCAAAAAAAAAAAAAAGAGAAAAUAAUAAAAAGUAGACCAAACAAUGAAAUUAAUACAAUAACUAGCACGUUAUAUUCUAAAAACACACUACUGAAUUAAUAAGGAGAGUUUUUAAGAAGUGAAGGGCUGGAUUAAUUUCGAUAUACAAUUGUGUUAUCCAAAAAAUUGAUCUGAUAUAAAACGAUUCAAAAUUAAUUUUUGUCAUAACUGUAACUACCUAGCCCACUAGCAAUAAUAACUCGUUGGGCCCAACCAUCGGCCCAAAAUGCUUAAGCCCAGUUAUUAUUACUAGUGUUUAAGUUUCUUAUAAACCCAAUAACAACCCCAUUUCCAUCCGAUGUGGGGAUUGGGGUGUCACAAACUCCCCCCGUUAAGGCCCUGACGUCCUCGUCAGUCCAAUCACACACACACAGCCCAAGAUCAAGAUCACCAGGCGAUGUGAGACUCGUCUCGCUAGCUCGUCAUCCAGACCCUGGCUCAGCCGAGACUCGCCACACAUGUCUAGCUGGUGAACCGGCUCUAAUACCAAAUGUAACGACCCAGCCCACUAGCAAUAAUAACUCAUUGGGCCCAACCACCGGCCCAAAAUGCUUAAGCCCAGUUAUUAUUACUAGUGUCUAAGUCUCUUAUAAAUUCAAUGACAACUCCAUUCUCAUUCGAUGUGAGAUUAUUGGGGUGUCACAAUAACGAACACAGAAAACGCCCCCUUGCCAAAAGAGAGUUCAUCUUGUUUAUGUAUGAAAACAUCAAAUUUUUAAUAUUAAUUUUCUGAAGCUGAAGCAUAUAAAUAAACUGAGAUAGUCAAUUCAAAAUGCUCAAAAUGGUAAUAGAACAUUACCACAAGGAUUCUCCUGUGUAUGAGCGGGAAUCUAGGGAAAAAGGGUAUAGUAUAUGGAUAAAAAAUAAUCAACAAAGAAAAGAAAAAAGUUGCAACCUACUUAACUAGGGGGCGACAAGAGGGUGAAAGCCAAAAGACUAGGAAGGGUAAAAGAGGAAAACAAAUAAUAAUAAUAAUAAUAAUAAUAAUUAAGAGCAUGGCUCGUGGGCUCUCCCCGUCACUGAAGCACUUGGCUAUUGAUCGUAUUUUGUAAUUUUUAUGUAUUUAUUUAUCCCACUCUCUCUCUCUCUCAAGAUCUCUCUUCUUUCUCUCCCUCUCUUCUUUCUGUGUGUGUGUGUGUGUGUGUGUGUGUGUGUGUGUGUGUGUGUGUCCCCCACACCCUUCCAUAGAUCAGACUGCACGCCAGAAGGGCCAGAAAGGGGCAGAAAGCAGGGCUAACGUCUUCCUCAAAAGCAGCUCUUCUUCCCAACCUGGAAAGAUAUAACAACAACCUUAAAGCUCAAGGGGUUUGGGGAAUGAGGAGUAUUUAGCAUAUAAAUAAGUCAAUGCAUGCUAUGUGUACCUGUAAUGUGCAGGGCACCGUGAAACAAUCGUUUAUCUUCAAUAGAUUAAGCUGUCAGAGAACGAUCGAUGCUUUCGUAUUCUAUAUCAAGGAUUCGACGAGAUUGGAAUUCAGAAUUUUUGUUAUGAUACUAUUUAUUUUUGAAAGCUUACACUAUCACAGAAAGUUAUUUUUUGUGUCAUAUAAUUCGAUAUGAGUGCAAUGUCUGUAGACUUAAGCAUUUAGAUUCAAUGAGUUUUAAUAGAUAUUUCACAUAUUUAGACUUGCGUGGAUCUUGGACUGAAUCGAAACUCCCUAUAAUGUAUAAUGUCGCGCAAAGAAUAAUAUACAAAAAUAGAAUUUGGAUUGUGAAAACCAUAUUAUAAAGAAAUUUGUACAAAUUAUAUAACAGGGGAUCCUACGGACUGUCGAAAGAAUUUAUAGUAUCAUUCUUGCAAAAAUACUUGCCAACUCGACAGUUAAGUUGCGCAUCAAUGCCAACAAACUAAAUUAGUAAUAAGCUGACUUAUCAAUUAUAUUUCCAGAUUCGUUUACGGUCACAUGUAAACAAAGAUGAGGUUGGUGAGCAUCUCAAGUUCUCAAGUGCAUUACGAACCUCUGCCCCAUCCGUGUUUACUUGUAAUUAAGUACCAACUCAAAAUAACAUUUAAUUUUAACACUCUCUCACCAACCUUUCGCAUGUACUGACCCUACUCAUAAUUUUAUAUCGUAUAUAUAUAUAUAUACCUUCCUUUCACCUUCCUCCUUACUAUUAUUUUAAUUACUAGGAGAUAUUUAUUACAUUUAUGCCCAGUUUCAUAAACCCAUCCCUGUGUAAAAGGGAGAAUUUUCGUAAAUGCCAUUAAUUUAAUAAAUUGAUGCAUCAUGUANNNNNNNNNNNNNNNNNNNNNNNNNUAUGAAUUAAGUUGUUUUAGCUUACUAAAUUGGACAUCGUAUUAAAUUUACCAGUGAAUUCACUGCAUUUAAUAUUUUUUUAUCACCUCUUAGUAACUAAAUUAGAUGGCUAAUUAACAAUUAAUAACUAAUAGAGCCAUUAAAUUUGAUAAAAUUGUUAACUUAAUUAAAUGUAAAAUCUCAAAUAGUUGAAGAGGAUCUGUUUCAAAAUUUUCCAUAGUUAAGGGGGUAUUCAUAAAUUUUUCCCCAAAAAAAACACCCCACAGUAAUUAGAGGAGAUCGAGCACAUACACAGUACCCACAAACACAACUGGCACCGUCAAUGUCAUUAGCGGAAUAUCUCGGGCGAGGGUUAUCCCAUUCCAUUAUGAGUCCUAACCCCUGGUUUUAAUCAAUAUUAUUAUACAAAAAUAUCCAACUCGCAUGGUAAAAAUAGAGGAUAGGAUAAAUGGUGGAAAUUAAUUAACUAAUUAAUUAACUAAUUAAUUAGAAAUAUCAUGCAUGUUGGCUACUUGGCUUUGGGGCUUCUAUCUCCAGCUAACUCUCCGAAUUGAACGGUACCUGAUGUUCCUACUUGCUUUGAUGUGGGCCAUAGUAAACAAUCCCAGUUGAUGAUUAGUAGUGGGGCGAAAAUAAUGUUUGAGACCACAUUGUUUCCUUUUUUUUGUUUAUAUCAAAUUAACCUUUUUUAGAAAAAAAAAUAGAAAAAAAUUUAUUUUACUUUAUUCUGAUUUAGCGCAUUUUCACUCAUCAUCACAUAAAACUGUAUUGUACUUUUAUUUUUAUUUUACUGUAAGAAUCUAUUAUCACAUAGAAAUUUUUGGUUUUCAAAGAAUUUUACUUUACUAUUCUGUUUGAUAGUGAAUUUUUUUUAAUAAAAUAAAAAAAAAAUUCUAGAAUAGAUAAGUAUAGUGGUUUGAACAAGAAGAUAAUAGAGGGGCAAACUAAAGUCUACACCCAAAAAAUGUGAUGUUGAAGACCGUUUUAUAUCUAAUGGUUUAAUUUCAUACCGAGUAUUUCGAUCUGUUUGAAUGUUAGAAUAAGUUAUUUGGUAAUAAUCGAGAAUUGCUGAAUGAGAGCAUAAAUAGCAUCUCUAGAUAAAUAAAAAUAAUUGUGGAAUAAAUAAAAAAAUAAAAGUAAAAAGUAAAAGAGUAAAAGGUGGAGAAAAUUAAACACAUUACAAUUUACCACAGCUGUAGGGGUGGGCCCCAGCGUGUAGAGAGAGAGAGAGAGGGGGGUGGGGAGAGGUGCGAAACGUGCCGGGCGAUUAUCGCGGAUCCCACGGAAACCCUCAACCGCCACCCAAACCCACUCUUCAUAAACCCCACAACCGGCCCAUGUUAGCAAUUAUUUUUUUGUUUUGAGAGAUAGGUAGUAUGAUACUCACUUCGCUUAUUUUAUUUAUAAAUAAACUUAGCUAAAAAUGUGAAUCAACUAAAAUUUAAAUUUGAAUUUCGGAUACCAACCACCAAGUUAUUUUCCAUUUAUUAAUCCCCAAUUAUUAAUCCUCAAAAGAAGACAAAAGAAGAAAAAGCUAAAGAUGUGUUGGAGAAACUCCGCAACCUCUAUUACGACUGCGCUUGAAAUUACCUGCUCAAUUUUUACCAGUUUAACUAUAUUUACUGUUAUAUUAAUUUAUCUUAAUUAGACUACUCUAUUAUAUGAAAAUCUCUAGAGAUACCGACUGUCUAGCGCAAGUGGCAAAAGGAUUGAUUGUUGGUAUCCGAGAUCUCAAGUUCGAAUCUUAGUUCAUUUAUAUUUCUUGCUAAGUUUAUUUCUAAUAAGAAAUAAAUGAAGAAGAUAAUAUACUACCUUUCUCUAAAAAAAACAAUCGCUAGAGAAAGAGAAGAGUGAGAUUUAGGGGUCCUUUUGGUUCAACAUAGUUAUAACUGCACUAUAGUUGUAACUGAUUGCAUAUCAAAAUCCAACAUUUAUUUUGAUGCACUUGAAUUCAGGUGCCGUAACUGUAACUGCAGGAAGAGGCUCACGCUCAUCUAUAUCAAUUAAAAUUAUGUCCAAAUUAGCUGCAAUUUUAACUACACUAUUUGAACAUAGUGAUUUUCAAUAUAGCUAAUUAUACCUCUCUAAUAAUUUUUUAAAUAAUUUUUUAUCUUUCAUCCACAGAGGUAAUCUCACCAUCUCAUAUAUAAAAUAAUAAUAAUUCGUAAAUGCAUUUCUCAACUGCAUAAAACUAAAUAAAGUAGUGAUACAUACAACACUUUCUACUACAUCCAAUCAAAUAAAAAAUAUAUAAAUAUAAUUGAUACAUGUUCAACCUCAUGCAUCUCUAAUUAUGCUGCAUUUAUAAUUACGUAGAACCAAACGACCCCUUAGUCCCGCAAAGACGGCAACAGCAAUACAAAGGAAAGUCAAAGUUGAGUCUAUUCUUUUAAUCCGCAGCAGCAACGCGAUCGUUUUAUUUUACAUAGACUUCAUGCACUCAUCAACUGUUAAGACACAACAAAAGUUUCUAAUUUUUUUUAAUUAAAAAAAAAAAGAGCAUGUAAUGAAAAUAAAUUGAUAAAUAGAAGGUAUAAAUCAAAAUAGUAAAAUUUGAGAGGAUAAAUUCAAACUUCUCUAAAGUGCAGUGGAUCUCCAUACAUUUCUUUUUCCCAAUAGAAAACUGAAGAAGAUGAGUUAAUUAAUUGAAACAAAAGAUUAAUUAAUCUUGGUUAUUUUUCGUCAUUAGUUAAACCAUUUCUUAGCUAAUUAACAGUUAAUGAAAGAUUGGGCCGGGGAAGGAAUCUAAUUUGCCAGGUGGCGCACGAUUCCAAAAUUUCACACCUGCAUGAUCUCCCGAGACGAUAAUGAUUGAGGUCGCCUCGAAUGAUGAGGGAGUUAAAAAACAAAAAGUUAAAAAAACCCUGAUUAGAUUAAAUAAUUAAUGUAGUUUAGUAAUUAACUAAUUAAUUAGUUUAAGAGAUGGUGGAGAAGGAGAUGCAGUAGAAUCUGGGGAGGAUUUUUUGAAUGUAAAUAUUAAAAGGUAAAUUUCAAAUACCAUUUCUGUGAUUUCGCACUUUAUCAUUUUAGUAUUUUAUAAUUUAAAAUGUAUCAAUUUAGUAUUCUGUAAUUUUAUUUUAUUUCUUUUCGUCAACUUCUACUCUAUCUAUAGUUUAUUGAAUAUUUCUUUUAGUACCCUUUAAUUUUAAUUCUGUCACUGAUUUAAUAAAAAAAAAAUUAAUAUAGAGAAUAAUAAAAAGAGAAAAAUAAAAUAAUAGGGCACGAACAUGAUACACUUUAAACNUGAAAGCUUUCCAAAGAAGAAAGAAGUAAAGAUACUGGCUUGACUUUUUAGCUUUCACUGCGGAUAGACUUUUUUUUUUUUUUUUGGAUUGUUUGUUUGUGUUCACAACUAUAAAUGGUGGGGGUAGAGGAUGCGGACUGAGUUAUUACGGUGGGACCCACGGCCCCGGAGCUCCACCGGAUCAGCCCAAGUAAUAAUAGAGUCCCCCCCUCGCUCAUCCCAUCACCUCUCUCUCUCUCUCAUCAACUCUAAUAUACUUUUUAAAUUUUAGGUAAAAUUUACUCAAGUUCUUAAACUUUUAUUAAGUUUAAUAACUAAUAUUUCACUGAUCGUUCCUAGCACAAGUAACAAAAAAUUUGAUAAUUGAUACUCGAGAUUCCAGAUAAUUCGAAACUCAAUUGCUUCACAUUUUCAGCUAAAUUUACUUUUAAAAAUAAAAUUAAAAAAGUAGGUAGCAUGCUAUCCUUCUCUCUAAAAAAAAACGUUCACAUUCCAAAUAUUUAGUUGUGAUUUAUUUUAUUCUUUCGGGAGAAAAAAUACUAUGUUUCAGUAAGAAUGAAUUUAUUGGUUCGUAAAUUUGAAUAAAAAUAUCGAUAUAUCAGUAAUAUUCUUUCAUCCAAAAUUGCUCUGAGAGCUCGAAAACUAAAGUGAAAUCUAUGAUAUUUUUUUUGUGAUUAUUUUCAUGGAAAAGCUCUAAUUGUCCUUCAUCCAUCUCUCCUUUUCCCCUCUCUUUCUCUCUCUUUCUCUCACUUAACUUNAAAGUUAAAAAAACCCUGAUUAGAUUAAAUAAUUAAUGUAGUUUAGUAAUUAACUAAUUAAUUAGUUUAAGAGAUGGUGGAGAAGGAGAUGCAGUAGAAUCUGGGGAGGAUUUUUUGAAUGUAAAUAUUAAAAGGUAAAUUUCAAAUACCAUUUCUGUGAUUUCGCACUUUAUCAUUUUAGUAUUUUAUAAUUUAAAAUGUAUCAAUUUAGUAUUCUGUAAUUUUAUUUUAUUUCUUUUCGUCAACUUCUACUCUAUCUAUAGUUUAUUGAAUAUUUCUUUUAGUACCCUUUAAUUUUAAUUCUGUCACUGAUUUAAUAAAAAAAAAAUUAAUAUAGAGAAUAAUAAAAAGAGAAAAAUAAAAUAAUAGGGCACGAACAUGAUACACUUUAAACCAUAUGUUACUAAAGUAAGAAAGUAUAAAACUAUAAGGGUAAUAUUUAAAGUUUUUUCAAUAUUAAUUAAGGAUAUCGUUUUCUAAUAAUUUAAGGCGGAGAACAAUGAUUAUUUCACAAAGUUAAAUUUUUUUUUUUGUGAUUAAUAUAAUAAUUAAAUUUUAUCCAACAUAGUGAGGAGAUGUGGGGAUUUUUUUUUUUUNNNNNNNNNNNNNNNNNNNNNNNNNNNNNNNNNNNNNNNNNNNNNNNNNNNNNNNNNNNNNNNNNNNNNNNNNNNNNNNNNNNNNNNNNNNNNNNNNNNNNNNNNNNNNNNNNNNNNNNNNNNNNNNNNNNNNNNNNNNNNNNNNNNNNNNNNNNNNNNNNNNNNNNNNNNNNNNNNNNNNNNNNNNNNNNNNNNNNNNNNNNNNNNNNNNNNNNNNNNNNNNNNNNNNNNNNNNNNNNNNNNNNNNNNNNNNNNNNNNNNNNNNNNNNNNNNNNNNNNNNNNNNNNNNNNNNNNNNNNNNNNNNNNNNNNNNNNNNNNNNNNNNNNNNNNNNNNNNNNNNNNNNNNNNNNNNNNNNNNNNNNNNNNNNNNNNNNNNNNNNNNNNNNNNNNNNNNNNNNNNNNNNNNNNNNNNNNNNNNNNNNNNNNNNNNNNNNNNNNNNNNNNNNNNNNNNNNNNNNNNNNNNNNNNUUUUUUUUUUUUUUUUGGAUUGUUUGUUUGUGUUCACAACUAUAAAUGGUGGGGGUAGGGGAUGGGGACUGAGUUAUUACGGUGGGACCCACGGCCCCGGAGCUCCACCUGAUCAGCCCAAGUAAUAAUAGAGUCUCCCCUGGCUCAUCCCAUCAACUCUCUCUCUCUCUCAUCAACUCUAAUAUACUUUUUAAAUUUUUAGGUAAAAUUUACUCAAGUUCUUAAACUUUUAUUAAGUUUAAUAACUCAUAUUUCACUGAUCGUUCCUAGCACAAGUAACAAAAAAUUUGAUAAUUGAUACUCGAGAUUCCAGAUUUGAAACUCAAUUGCUUCAUAUUUUCAGCUAAAUUUACUUUUAAAAAUAAAAUUAAAAAAGUAGAUAGCAUGCUAUCUUUCUCUCUAAAAAAAAACGUUCACAUUCCAAAUAUUUAGUCAUGAUUUAUUUUAUUCUUUCAGUAGAAAAAAUACUACGUUUCAGUAAGGAUGAAUUUAUUGGUUCGUAAAUUUGAAUAAAUAUCAGUAAUAUUCUUUCAUCCUAAAUUGCUCAGGUAGCUCGAAAACUAAAGUGAAAUCUAUGAUGUUUUUUUUGUGAUUAUUUUCAUGGAAAAGCUCUAAUUGUCCUUCAUCCAUCUCUCCUUUUCCCCUCUCUUUCUCUCUCUUUCUCUCACUUAACUUUUUCUUUUUUUCUUUUUUUCUUUUUUUUCCUUUCUCUUCCUAAGACAUUUCUUUCACACGGCUCAUUUGCAUUAUUAAGAGGAAUCAAAACAGCAACAAUGAGAAUACAUGUGCCUGAAGCUGAUCUCGCAAUCAUGGCCGUACACGAAAUUGGAUUCCCAGUUACGAGUAGUAGGCACCCACAACGUAGACCCGGGCCAUGUAAAUAUAUCUCCAUCCAUCGUUGCUUACUACUACUACUAAUUAUGGGGCUCAUUAAGGAUACGGAUUGAGACCGUUAGAACUUAUUUUUUAUUUGAAUUUGAAUUUAAAUUUGAAAAUUUGAUUUGAAACGAAUAAAAUUUAGCUGAUUCGGUAGUUUGAAUCGUUUUAUGAUCUCCUCAGUCAUAUGCUGGAGUGGUUUUAGUCGAUUUAUUUAAAUUUACUAUUUAGCCUACAUUCAAGCGAAUAAAUUACAUUAAUAAGCUUGUAAUUUCUAAUUAGAUUAUAAAAUUUUAGCACAUAAAAUUAAAGAUUAAUUUCAUACAGGUCCCUACAAAAAUAGUAAAUUAUAAAUAUAUUCCUACAAAGUUUAACUUUUAUAUAUUAUCCAUACAAAAGUCUAGAUGUUUUCAAAUAUAUUUCUACCGUUAGGAUCCGUUAGAAAAAAUUUGUAACCAUAAAUGAAUUGGUCUUUUUAUCCUUCCUUAAUUAAUAGUUGGAAUUUUUGAAAUGACAUAUUUAUGAUGGUAAAAAGGUCAUUCCACUUAUAAGAUAAACAGUGCUUUAACGGUAACAAACCAGAGGAGAUAAUAUAUGAAAGUUGAAUUUUGUAGAAAUGUAUUUAUAAUUUACUAUAUUUGCAGGGACAUGCAUGAAAUUAAUUCUAAAAUUAAAGGGGAGGGGUUUCUUUGAGAAUAGCAUGUAGUUGAGGGGGUCUCUCUCUAUUCGCUUACUUGAUGGUAAAAAUCCAAAUUAACCCCUCUAUCUAAAUAAUUAAUUUUUUUUUUUGAAAAAAAUAAAAAAUAAUUUUGGAAGGGAAAGAGUAACCGAAACGGAAAGCUUUCUCCCAUUUGAUGCCAAACCGAUGGGGGGUCUAAAAAGUUGUCGUGAUCUAAAGAAAAACAAAUUCAGCAUCUCAAAUGGCGAAAAUGCCCUCCCCGCCAGGGCUUUUAUAGCGCAGAGAACGCCGACCUCCAGGGGUAUUUCCGACAUUUCGACGAGCCUGCCAGGUUGUUUUGGUUCUUCACGGCACUCCACUCUAAAAUUCGGCGGCACGACGAGGAUUUACUUUUCUUUUUCUAAAUUUUCAUUUUACAAAAAUCAUAUAUAUAUAUACAUUUAAAUAAAUGAGUUAAUUUCAUACAGUUUUCUACAAACAUAGUGAAUGAUAAAUAUAUCCGUACAAAUAUUUUCAAAUAUGCUCAAUUGGUUUAUUACUGUUAGAGAAUUAUUUAUAAUUUUAAUUAUAUCAUCACAAUUAUAUUGCUCCAAAAAUCAUAACAGUAUAAUAUAAGAGGGAUAAGAAUGUCAAAAACUAAUCAGGAUUAAGUAUUCAAUCUAUGGUUAACUAAACUUUUUUUAAAGGAUUCUAAUGGGAAGGAUAUAUUUGAAAAUAUCAGAAUUUUUGUAAAAACAACAUAUGAAAGUUGAAUUUUGUAGUAAUAUAUUUGUCAUUUACUAGAUUUACAAGAACCUGUAUGGAAUUUACUCUAAAUAAAUUUACAGUAAUUUGAACUACAUGUAUUAAUAUAUAUAAUCAAAUUUUUACAUGGCACAGCGUAUAAUUUGAAAACUAUGUUUACAAACGCAUUAAUAACCUUAUAUUUUAA